ensembl:lncRNA
AAAAGAUAAUUCUAUAAUGCUUACCUCCUGCAUUACAACAUCUACAAGGACAUUAUUAUGCGGAUGGUUUACUGUAUUUACAGCGGCGUUUCGCGAUCAAAGCACCAAAUAACUUUCUGUUCCUCUCGCGAUAACACACUUCUGACGACAGACACCUCACAAUUGCCGCGAAUAAGAUAUUAUGUGAAAAAGUGACAGAUAACGUACAUGUUGAGGUAGUCUGCCUACAGACGAAACAAGAAAUCGAGUCAAACAUUAAAAUAGAGAUUAAAGGCGCAGCUGGUUAAAGUUAUGAAACCCGUGUACCGUCAUUAAAACCAACCAAAAUGCAGAAAACGCUAUGACAACAAUCUACUGUAAUUUAAGGCCCAUCCACCACACUAACAGAAGGUCAAGAGUGACCGUGCUGAUUAAGCUGGAUCUUCUAAACAUAUUUUUAGCUAACUGCCUCAACACAUCCGGUUUACUGACACAGGCAUCUGAAGGAAACUCUAUCGUCCCCUGGAGUACUGAGGGAAUUUGAGAGUGUGUGGAGGCCCGGGGCGAAGGCUGUCUCUGCACAUGAUCGUCCGCAACUAAUACAUCCCACAAGUGCACAUGAGUGUGAUGGAGCCCCUGCCCAUAUUACUGUGGAAACAGGUGCUUUCUGCAGCCCAGCAGAUGUCCCACAACGCUGCUGUGGAAACGGCCUCUCAAUAGCCAUGCACAGAAACAAUGCAUGAUGCCCUGCCAAGGUGGUCCGACUUCUGUUUAUCGUUGACGCAGAUCUGUAUGAGUCAGAUGAGAGUUGGCGUCCUCCGGCCAGCUCAAGGUGACAGAGACGCAUGGUCAUCGAUCCCUGUCUCGCCUCCUCUCUGUUAUCAAAAUGUAACAUCAUUAUCUCCUACCCUUUGACCCCUUCUGAUGGACACAGGUGACAGCAGUGCUUACAUCAGCACAGCGAGGUGAGGAGGGUCAUUAUUAUCACAUUAUUCUCAUCCUCUCAUCACCCAGGAGUCUGUCUGUGUGUGAUCGUGUCUGCUGGGAGUCCUGGUGUAGAUCAACACAUCUUCCAAUGCACUAGGAAGAGAGCACACUUCUCUCAACACCACACAGGAAGUCUUGGCUGCUCUGACGUCAAUCAGGGAGUUUCUCCUCACCGAUUGGCUGAUUCUUACUUUUCUGAGUGCCAGGGGACGAUGCCAGCGGGACAGGAAGUUGGUGUAGGUGGAGUGAAGUUGCCCAAAGCUCACGGGUUUGAUUUGAGGUGAUGCUUUGUGGACAAGAACAUCUGUUUCAUGCCUUGAAUGUAAAUGCAAAAUAAAGCAAAAUGCAUACAGACUGACAUGCAGGCCUGAGACAGAGAUGAAGGGCCUGUUAUGUCAAUUAACCAACCCGACCCAUGUGCUUGGCUGCGAUUCAAGGUUGCACGGGAGGAGUUCAACUGCUUAAAGGGAAGGC